UGUUCUGAGGCUCAGUUGGUUAAAGCGCCGGUCUAGCGAAUACGGAGUCGUGGGUUCAAAUCCCACCCGAACGC
rnacentral:tRNA from 1 species